UCGUGGAGCUUCGGCUCCUUCGAGGGAGAAACCCUUGCCUUUUCGAGCACCUGUUUGUUUCCUCGGCAGGCCCGCCUGCCAAUGGGGACCUUUUUUAAACUCUUGCAAUCAACCUGAACAAUUGUCUGAACAAAAAAAUUUAAAUCA
rnacentral:misc_RNA from 1 species